CCUACGGGAGGCAGCAGUGAGGAAUAUUGGUCAAUGGGCGAGAGCCUGAACCAGCCAAGUCGCGUGAAGGAUGAAGGUCCUAUGGUUUGUAAACUUCUUUUAUAUGGGAAUAAAGUGCGCCACGUGUUCCUUUUUGUAUGUACCCUAUGAAUAAGCAUCGGCUAACUCCGUGCCAGCAGCCGCGGUAAUCCGGAGGAUGCGAGCGUUAUCCGGAUUUAUUGGGUUUAAAGGGUGCGUAGGUGGUUAAUUAAGUCAGCGGUGAAAGUUUGUGGCUCAACCAUAAAAUUGCCGUUGAAACUGGUUGACUUGAGUAUAGUAGAGGUAGGCGGAAUGCGUGGUGUAGCGGUGAAAUGCAUAGAUAUCACGCAGAACUCCGAUUGCGAAGGCAGCUUACUGAACUAUAACUGACACUGAAGCACGAAAGCGUGGGUAUCAAACAGGAUUAGAUACCCUUGUAGUC
rnacentral:rRNA from 1 species